rnacentral:rRNA from 1 species
UGGGGAAUUUUGGACAAUGGGGGCAACCCUGAUCCAGCCAUGCCGCGUGCGGGAAGAAGGCCUUCGGGUUGUAAACCGCUUUUAGCCGGGAAGAAAAGGCAUCUCCUAAUACGGGGUGUUCUUGACGGUACCGGCGGAAUAAGCACCGGCUAACUACGUGCCAGCAGCCGCGGUAAUACGUAGGGUGCGAGCGUUAAUCGGAAUUACUGGGCGUAAAGCGUGCGCAGGCGGUUCGUUAAGUCUGAUGUGAAAGCCCCGGGCUCAACCUGGGAAUGGCAUUGGAAACUGGCGGGCUGGAGUGCGGCAGAGGGGGGUGGAAUUCCGCGUGUAGCAGUGAAAUGCGUAGAGAUGCGGAGGAACACCGAUGGCGAAGGCAGCCCCCUGGGCCGACACUGACGCU